GGCAGCUGUUGCAAAUCCUCAGCUCCAGAGUGUGGUUUCUCUGCCAAAUCCUGUGGUUGUGCCUCUAAGCCAUCACUAGCAGAACUUGAAGUGCCGUGAUCAAGGAGGAGAUUAAACUAUUUCACAAUGGAAUAAACUCUUACUUUGGCUUGCAGAUUGAAGCGGUGUGCUAUCAAGCUGAAUGUCUGUGUGUCCGGCUACCCCACCUGCACCCUAACUGGCUUACCCCGAACCAGAAGGUGGAGGCAUGGGCACGGAGGAUCCCUGUGGCAAGACAAGUUAAGCCGGUGUCGGUCCCGAACCCG